rnacentral:tmRNA from 1 species
GGGGACGUGAGGUUCGACAGGGGGGUUUGAUUCCAGAGCUGCAGGUCGAGGUGCCAUCACCCUCGUAAAUCAGGUGGCAAACAAAAUAACUGGCGAACGCGAAUACGCACUGGCUGCCUAAUUAAGGCAGCCACGUCCGCCUUGACCUCUCCUCGAAGGUUGGGGAACGGGCGCCGAAAACUCGAGGUGCGGUGGUCCUGAUGCCGGUAGGGGCUGCCUAAGAAACAUCGGCUGGCCCGGUCGCAAUCGGUCAGCGGAGAGCGGUCGGGCGAGAACCAACGGCUGCACAAGCUUGUAGAAGCUCUGGAUGGGAGUCUUCUGGACGGGGAGUUCGACUCUCCCCCGUCUCCACCA